GAAGCGAAAAUGCCAGUGUGCUGAAUGGGCUGGUUCUUGCCCGCAGCUCCUGUGGCCGAAGCUGCUGAAGUACGUGGUGCCAGUCGAGUACAUGGGCAUGCUGGUCCCGCUCUGCCGCUGUCUGCGUGCCCUGGCYGAGAGACAGGAGAGAGCAGAGUGUGAGGAAGAAGAGGCAGCACCCGAGGCCCUGGAGUCUGCGGAGCAAGCUGCUCUGCCGGCUCCCCAGGCCCUGCUGGCUCGCCUGCUGGAACAACCGCCAGCUCCCUGGACGUGGCUGAGUGGGAGAGCCUUCUGCUGAAGGUACGACGUCCCUGAGGGGGUCCCAGCUGGAUGGGGCAAACGGGGGUCAGGAAAAGUGGUGGGAGGAA
rnacentral:lncRNA from 1 species